rnacentral:lncRNA from 1 species
GCCUGAUUGAAGAUGUCUGUGAGCAGUAAUUACUGAGGAGGAAUUGUGGCUGAGGGCUGGGCAGAAACACCUGGGGUUCAUCUGGAGCUGAGGGACAUUUGUCACCUAUUGUGGAGAAGGUCUGUCCUCCCCAAGAUACAGAUACCUUGUGCCACUUUGCAACUGAAUUUUGAAGAUGUCAGGGGCCAGGACACUCCUGUGAACUUCACUGACAGCUGGAUGGACUUGGCAGAGAGAGCCCAUCUGACAGGGUUUUGGAAGCUAAGCUGCAGUGGAAAGUAACCAGAAUGCAGCCAUUGUCUGGCAAUGUCCUGGGCACCAACAGAUUUACUGGAGGAAGUACGGAGGGAGCCAAACACAUCAGCUGAUGACAGGGAUGUGAAUGCUUGGGGGUGGUUGCAGCAGAAGGAAGAACAAGUAAGUAAAUUUGAGGGGAUAAAUGUGCAGGCCUUUUCAUGGAGCAAUUGCAAUCAGUUGUUUUAAAGUAUACCCCAGUUGUG